rnacentral:ncRNA from 1 species
ACAGAACUCUGGAGAAGCCUGCUUUGCGCAGGUGCCGAAGGUGCAAAACGCUUUGCGUUAAUCUCUCAGGCAAAAGGACAGAGAAAG